UGCAAAGUUGUACAUAUUUGUAUGAAAAGAGAUUCAUGUUGGAGAUUUUUUAAGUAUAAUUGAACAUUUUAAUUUUGCACAUGAACAAUGCAUUUGGUGCUUUUACAACAUAUCAUUUUCAAAGGAUGAUCAUGUGCAUGUUGAUAUGGAAUAAAAAAAAACUUUUGCGUGAUUAAAAUUUUAUAAAUUUUGAGAAAAUUAAUUCUUCAUAUAAUUAAUAAUUUGCAAAUUUUGUUAUAUUAUAUUUUUGUUUUUAUUUUAUACAUUGAAAGUACUUCAGUUGCUUUAGUUUUGUUCCUGAAUGUCUUUUCAUUUGUCCUUAACUUAUUUAUGUUUGUGAACUUUUUAAAAUAUGUAUCACAAAGAAUUAAUUGACCUUUUUUGUUCAAAUAUUCAGUGAUCUAGUGUUUUGUUGGUGUGUUAUUUAUGAAGAAUGGGCGUUUUACACAGCUUCAUUUUAUAUUCUUAUUGUUUUAUAGUAUAUGUAUUGAUGCAUAUAGAGAAAAAUUUAAAAAUUAAUAUAUAAUAUGAAAAAAAGAGGAAAAUUUGAAGAAGAAAAAGGAAACCAAAAAUAGGUAUAUAUCUUUGUAAGGAUUUGUAUGUUCAUCAUAGAUUUGAAAGGUUAACACAUUAUACUAUAGUAUCAAAUACAUUAUGAUGGGGUGAGAUGUCACCCACUAUGGGGCUUACUUUAGAAUAUUUGUGAGAUCAGCCCUCGCCCUGGGAAACAUUCCCUUUUUUCAGAUUGCUUUUGUCAGUGAAAGCUUUAUCAUUAUGAGAUAAUUAGUUUUAAAUAUUGUUAACUAAAGAUACUUUUUUUUACGCAUUUGAGAGGCAUUGUUCAUGAUCAAACUCACCAUGCGAGAUUGAUGAUAAAUAAAACUCGACAUCAU
rnacentral:misc_RNA from 1 species